rnacentral:rRNA from 1 species
GAUGAACGCUGACAGAAUGCUUAACACAUGCAAGUCGAUUCGAUUUACCUUCGGGUAUUGAGGAUGGCGGACGGGUGAGUAACGCGUAAGGAACUUGCCUCUUGGUCUGGGACAACUGUUGGAAACGACAGCUAAUACCGGAUAUUAUGAGAUUCUCGCAUGGGAAACUUAUGAAAGCUAUAUGCGCCAAGAGAGAGCCUUGCGUUCCAUUAGCUAGUUGGUGGGGUAACGGCCCACCAAGGCGACGAUGGAUAGCCGGCCUGAGAGGGUGAACGGCCACAAGGGGACUGAGACACGGCCCUUACUCCUACGGGAGGCAGCAGUGGGGAAUAUUGGACAAUGGGCCACAAGCCUGAUCCAGCAAUUCUGUGUGCACGAUGAAGGUCUUCGGACUGUAAAGUGCUUUCAGUUGGGAAGAAGAAAGUGACGGUACCAACAGAAGAAGCGACGGCUAAAUACGUGCCAGCAGCCGCAGUAA